AUUAAAUUCUUAUGUCAUAUGGUUAUGAUACUGUCAAAUACUUUUUAUGAAAGCAUCAACGCCAACUAUUAUUUGUUAUUUUUUAAAUUAAUACACAGUCUUCAUCUUGGGGGAACGGUGGUUUAUUUUUAAAAGUUGUGACGCACCACGCAUCUCUCGCUUGGUUUUCGGCUGAUCAUUCUGGACUCCUAUACUUUCCCGAGCAGUAUGCAAAAGGUUGUACCGUUUGGUCCGCUUUAGAUACGUAAAGAAUGCCAAAGAUUCAGAUUGAUCUGUCCUGGUUAACCUCAAAGGAAUUCGUUUCCGCUUAUCCGCAAUAGGCCAGGUGUUUCCGACACCAGAAAUAAAGAAUACACUCUUGAGACAGCUGUAGUGGAAUAAGAAACAAUAGCUGAGAAAUGAAACAAAUUGAAAAUUGUAUGUCAUGGAUGACUUGCCGAAGUCUAUUUCCAUAAAUUUCAUCGAUGACUGUGGCAAAAUCAAUUGAUUAGUCUAAUAUAUAUGAAGAACAAUGGUUUUUAUGGUGUGAGGAAUAAAUAUGAGCAUAAUGUCCCACUCGUCCAUUUUCCUGUCGAACGAACCAUAAUUUUGAUUUUCAAAAUUUGUUUGCUUUCCUCAUCACCAAACAAAUCAGCUGACAAAAUAACUUUCUUCCGUAACCUUCUCCGCCAGAGUAAACUCCUGUUCCCAUCCUUACAUCUAUUCCAAUAUCGAUACAAAACGCGCGGCAGUGUUAAUGAGCUAUUACACUUUAGAUAGGACAGGCAAAUAUAAUUUCCCGAUAAGUUUACUAAGAUUUUAAGGCUAGGUUUUUAACCAAUCACUAACCAAUAUAUAGAUGUAUCACUUCAUAUCCUUAUAGCCUAGACACACUGGCCAGCUUCCUUAUCCUAUUCCUUACCUACCUUAUCAUAGACGGUCCGUGAGGUUUUGCCGCUCCGCAAAUUUCCCAGCUAUGCCACCACCCAUCUAAGAUGUACCUACAAGAGUUUAUACAUAUUUGGGAUCGUGAUCACGAGUCUUCCUUCUGAGCAUCUACGGGACCACACGUGACUGAUUGGUGGUGCGUGGUGGUCACUUCGAGGGACAAUCGUGGCGGAAGUUUCGACACACUCCGACAAUUAACACAUCGGGCCGUGUAAUUAUUAACAGCAUGUGAUGAAAAUAAGAAAUUAUAAUGGGUAAAUAUGUAAAAUCACAUGUCAACACUUGACCCUAAUAUGAAAAUAUAAAACCUUAAACUUAAGAUGUAAUGAUAAAUAACGAUGCUUAAACCUAAUGUCGAAAAUGUUUCCAGGGAUGUUUCCUCACGUCUAA